UACGUAGGAGGCGAGCGUUGUCCGGAGUUACUGGGCGUAAAGCGCACGCAGGCGGUCAGAUCAGUCUGGAGUGACAGUCGUCGGCUUAACCGACGAAGUGUUCUGGAAACUGUCUGACUUGAGGGCUUCAGAGGGACACGGAAUUCCGGGUGGAGUGGUGAAAUGCGUAGAUAUCCGGAGGAACACCAAUGGCGAAGGCAGUGUCCUGGGAACGUACC
rnacentral:rRNA from 1 species